CGGCUAUAUAACGUUAAAACACAGGUUACCGUAUGAUCACCGAAGUUAAGCAAUCUCGAGCCUGCUCAGUACGUAGAUGGGUGACCACUUCGGAAUACCUGUAACUGU